CGUGUUGCCUUCUCCUUACUCCACAGACCCGAGGGGCAGGCUGCGGCAGCUAACCGAGGUAAACGCCGUGGAGGUGGGGCUGCGAAGCAGAGACAAGGCCAAGUCCAAAGGCGGCUGAAGAAAGACGAGCGAAGAAAGGGUGCUAGGUCAAAAGGAAACUAUACGGCUGUGUGCUUAAAAGAUCAGAGUUUAACAGGCCUCCACCAACAGCUCGCCAAAGACUUUUUAAACACUCAUCUCUACGGACCAGACGCCAACCGGGCACAGGCAAAUGAAUUUUUCUCCCUUGAAAAUAAGAAGAACCCAGUUAAAAAAGCUGCAGUUCAGUUUGUGGACAAAUCUUGGGGGCAAGAAAAAAAGCAAAGAGCAGCAAGGUUUAAAAAACGUUGGCUCUCAACACAGAUUAAAAAUUGAGUAUGAAGACAGCUUUUUUCAGAAGAUGCUAUUAAGGACUUCUGCUGAAAGUCAGUCUCUCAACACAACAAAGGUGUUUUCUCUCCACUUCUCCAUCAUUGCCCUGCUUUCAGCUCCAGCCACCAGCUGGCACUGAUCUUCACAAAGCUCCGCCUGAACUGACCUCCCUGUUCUCUUCCCUCCCCUUUCAGAAGGGGUCAGGGAAGCUAAGAAACAGCUGUGUGUCCUUAACGCUGACUUAGAACAGCUGGUGUUACAACCAGCCUUCUAGAGCUGGGUGCUGCUCUGUGAGGCAGCUCCUUUGCAGAGAAUAAAGACGAGCGAUGUGGUACUUACUGGUC